rnacentral:rRNA from 1 species
GACGCAGUAGGAUAGGCGAAGCGUGCGAUUGGAUUGCACGUCUAAGCAGUAAGGCUGAGUAUUAGGCAAAUCCGGUACUCGUUAAGGCUGAGCUGUGAUGGGGAGAAGACAUUGUGUCUUCGAGUCGUUGAUUUCACACUGCCGAGAAAAGCCUCUAGAUAGAAAAUAGGUGCCCGUACCGCAAACCGACACAGGUAGUCAAGAUGAGAAUUCUAAGGUGAGCGAGCGAACUCUCGUUAAGGAACUCGGCAAAAUGACCCCGUAACUUCGGGAGAAGGGGUGCUCUUUAGGGUUAACGCCCAGAAGAGCCGCAGUGAAUAGGCCCAAGCGACUGUUUAUCAAAAACACAGGUCUCUGCUAAACCGUAAGGUGAUGUAUAGGGGCUGACGCCUGCCCGGUGCUGGAAGGUUAAGAGGAGUGGUUAGCUUCUGCGAAGCUACGAAUCGAAGCCCCAGUAAACGGCGGCCGUAACUAUAACGGUCCUAAGGUAGCGAAAUUCCUUGUCGGGUAAGUUCCGACCCGCACGAAAGGCGUAACGAUUUGGGCACUGUCUCAACGAGAGACUCGGUGAAAUCAUAGUACCUGUGAAGAUGCAGGUUACCCGCGACAGGACGGAAAGACCCCGUGGAGCUUUACUGUAGCCUGAUAUUGAAAUUCGGCACAGCUUGUACAGGAUAGGUAGGAGCCUUUGAAACGUGAGCGCUAGCUUACGUGGAGGCGCUGGUGGGAUACUACCCUAGCUGUGUUGGCUUUCUAACCCGCACCACUUAUCGUGGUGGGAGACAGUGUCAGGCGGGCAGUUUGACUGGGGCGGUCGCCUCCUAAAAGGUAACGGAGGCGCUCAAAGGUUCCCUCAGAAUGGUUGGAAAUCAUUCAUAGAGUGUAAAGGCAUAAGGGAGCUUGACUGCGAGACCUACAAGUCGAGCAGGGUCGAAAGACGGACUUAGUGAUCCGGUGGUUCCGCAUGGAAGGGCCAUCGCUCAACGGAUAAAAGCUACCCCGGGGAUAACAGGCUUAUCUCCCCCAAGAGUUCACAUCGACGGGGAGGUUUGGCACCUCGAUGUCGGCUCAUCGCAUCCUGGGGCUGUAGUCGGUCCCAAGGGUUGGGCUGUUCGCCCAUUAAAGCGGUACGCGAGCUGGGUUCAGAACGUCGUGAGACAGUUCGGUCCCUAUCCGUCGUGGGCGUAGGAAAUUUGAGAGGAGCUGUCCUUAGUACGAGAGGACCGGGAUGGACAUACCUCUGGUGUACCAGUUGUCGUGCCAACGGCAUAGCUGGGUAGCUAUGUGUGGACGGGAUAAGUGCUGAAAGCAUCUAAGCAUGAAGCCCCCCUCAAGAUGAGAUUUCCCAACUUCGGUUAUAAGAUCCCUCAAAGAUGAUGAGGUUAAUAGGUUCGAGGUGGAAG